rnacentral:rRNA from 1 species
AUUGAACGCUGGCGGCAUGCUUUACACAUGCAAGUCGAACGGUAACAGGCCGCAAGGUGCUGACGAGUGGCGAACGGGUGAGUAAUGCAUCGGAACGUGCCCAGUCGUGGGGGAUAACGCAGCGAAAGCUGUGCUAAUACCGCAUACGAUCUAUGGAUGAAAGCGGGGGACCGUAAGGCCUCGCGCGAUUGGAGCGGCCGAUGUCAGAUUAGCUAGUUGGUGGGGUAAAGGCCCACCAAGGCGACGAUCUGUAGCUGGUCUGAGAGGACGACCAGCCACACGGGGACUGAGACACGGCCCGGACUCCUACGGGAGGCAGCAGUGGGGAAUUUUGGACAAUGGGCGCAAGCCUGAUUCAGCAAUGCCGCGUGCAGGAAGAAGGCCUUCGGGUUGUAAACUGCUUUUGUACGGAACGAAACGGUCUGGGUUAAUACCCUGGGCUAAUGACGGUACCGUAAGAAUAAGCACCGGCUAACUACGUGCCAGCAGCCGCCGUAACAC